rnacentral:rRNA from 1 species
CGUGUAGGCGGCUUAACAAGUCAGAUGUGAAAUCCCUGGGCUUAACCCAGGAAGUGCAUUUGAAACUGUUUGGCUUGAGUAAGGGAGAGGAAAGUGGAAUUCCUGGUGUAGAGGUGAAAUUCGUAGAUAUCAGGAGGAACACCGGUGGCGAAGGCGACUUUCUGGCCCUAUACUGACGCUGAGACGCGAAAGCGUGGGUAGCAAACA